rnacentral:rRNA from 1 species
CCUACUAUGUUACGACUUAUCUCAUUUAAAAAUGAAAGCGACGGGCGAUAUGUACAUGAUUUAGAGCUUAUAUCUAACGAGCAUGUUAAACUAACUUUACAAUCAAAUCCUCCUUCCAAAUAAUAUUUAAAUUAUAAUUCCGUAUAAAUAAAUUUUAUUGUAACCCAUUUUAACUUAAGUAUAAGCUGCACCUUGAUCUAAUAUAUUUAACAUUAUUAACAAAUAUCCAGUAAUUACUUCUAUAAAAAUUACCUAAUAAUGAUGGUAUACAUACUUUAUAAACUUAAGUAAGAUUAUUCGUGGUUUAUCGAUUCAAAAACAAGUUCCUCUGACUAGACUAAAUCACCGCCAAAUUCUUCAAAUUUUUAGAAUAUAGCUAUUAUUACUUUGGUUUGGUUAAAUUAUUUUCUGGUAU